AAAGUCGUAACAAGGUAACCGUAGGUGAACCUGCGGUUGGAUCAUUAACAAAUUCCAAACCAAAAAAAAAACCCCCUUGGAAAAAAGAGCCAGUGCGCUCGUUUUUUCUCGGGGUUUUUUUUAUACCCCCACACUUUAUGUGAACCGUAUUUGCGUUUUUGGGGCGAUAUUUCGAAUGGAGACAUUCGAGUCGCCCGUGUGGAUCCCCCGUUCACAGUUUCGUUGACCGGGGCGAGUACACAACAAAAACAUAUUUUUACAAACUUACAUUUAAUCUGAAAUCAUAUUGUUUCUAUUUUGAGGCCGCCGUGCGCGCCCAAAAUAUAACCAUAAAAAAACUUUUGACAACGGAUCUCUUGGCUCUC
rnacentral:misc_RNA from 1 species